ACAUGGUGGCCGCGGCGAUGCCUGGGGCAGAGGCGCAGAGACACGGAGGUCACAACCCGCAGUCUGCUUCGUCCGCCCCCCACCUAGAGGUCAAGUCCGACAGAAGCAGCGCUGUGCUUCCUUGGGAAAACUGCCUCCGGACUACACCACCAGGAGGAUGGGAAUCCUGAUGGCAGCUCCACUUCCAAGAGGGAUAGACUGCUUGUUGUCGGAGCUCCAGAAGAGAGCGCACCCCAUACCUGUUGCAUGAUCCCUUGUGAUGCUUCACUGAAAGUGCAAAACCCAGACACCCGUGCCCUGUGACCGAGCUGCUAAGGUGUUGAGUUUAGGCACACCUCUUCCUUCAUCGCCACUCUCCUCUUCCUCUCCCCUGCCGCCCUGCUGCUGGGAUUAAAGCAGAGGUGAGAGAAGCACGAGGACUGGUUGCUUAGCAGCGCCUCAGUUCCACCGUUCAGAAUCCUUGCAGCCCAUUGGCUGUGCUCAGUCCUGACAUCACUGCACUGGGCUGCGACUGUUCCAAGACAGACUCAUUUUACAAAUAGAGGCAUGCGCCCCCUGCUGGAAGUAAGAAAGAAAGACACAAAUUGUCACAUUGGGCAGGUGGGCUGCAGGAGAUAUUCUCAUCUCAUGCAAGCUUCUUAACAGAUUGUCAGGGGUUUCAGCAGGUCUUACCUAGUUUAUUUCUGAUCCACUGAAACCCUGAUAGAUGAAUACAUUCCGCUACCUGUGUUUUGAAUGUUAGACUGUAAAAGCUAUACUGUAGUUACCCAGUUCACAUAGACGAUAGACUGGAAUGGACUAACAACACUGAGGCCAUCUACAUGAAGGGCCAGAGCCGACUUUACUUCUUGAGGAGGAUCAGGUCCUUCAAUGUGUGUAGUAAAAUGUUCCAUUUGUUCUAUCAGUCGGUUGUAGCAAGUCCCAUUUCCCAAACAGGCAACACUGACCUGUUUAGGGACUAAAUCUGAAUCCUCUGUUUACAACUGGUGUGAAAUAUGUGGAAGUGGAUUUAUCUUUAAUUGUGUAAUAUAUAUCUACACUUGUGCAAUAUGCUUGUGGAUUGUGCAAUAUAUCUAUACUGUGCGAUACAACUUAUUUAUGCACUGUACAUUCUGGUUUGUUUUGGUCUAUUCUGUAUUAUUAUGUUGUACUGUGCUGUGUUGAUUGUGCCUGGCUGCUGUUGCACUGCAAUUUCCCUCACGGGAAAAUUGUCUUUAAAAUGAAGUAGAAUAUAACACUUGUACUUCCAGGUUUAUCAGUAUGGCUUAUCCAUUUAAAAGACAAUUUCUGCAUUCUUACUUAGAAUUUUAGCAGGGCUGUGUUUUGGCAGAUCAGUUAUAGAUUCCAGUUUUACAGGAAUGUGUCACUAGAAUGGCAGUAGAAUGAAUUCAGGAUGUUAUUGUGGGUGUGUAGUUACUCUGUGAUCCAAAGGGAUGCUUAAAAGCCCCUAAAGCCCAAGAGGUUCGAUUUGAAUCCCUUAAAUCCACAGCCCUUGGUAUCUAAGACACAGAAUUUACCAUCCUGGGUAGGAUUAGCCAAUGUCUCCAUGGCAACACGGCACAGCACUACGUCAUCCAGGAUGCAGCUCAGGCCCUCCUCGCUCGGCUCCCAUUUUUAUGUUUAACAUGUUACACAAACUUACUUCUGAACCACACCCUCUGCCUGUUCCUGUCGGAAGGAAGGAGGUGGAAAAGCUCCUGUCUGGUUGUGGUUAGAGGCAGUGCAGUGCCACUCGACAGGGUGCUGGUUUUAAAGAAAACCUAGCACAGAAAAGGAAAGAAAUUUACCCUCCUCUCAGGCCUCACUGCUAUGUCUGAUAGUUCACAUUUCAGCAGAGCUCUCAAGCUCCAGUGCUGAGUAAUUUCUUUAACUGAUUGGCUUUAUUUGUUUGACUUUUUUACUUGUUUCUGCACUCAGCUCCGUGUUUCAGGAACUCCACUUCAGGUGUAUUGUUUCCAACAGCUUUGGCAUGAUGAACUUAGUAGUAGCAGUAGUCUCUUCUAAAACUCAGAAACUGAUACCAGUUACCAACCCCUGUCACUGGUUUCAGAGGUUGCACCUUCAAUAGAAAACUGAAAUCAACUAGUCUGUGAUUACGAACUCGUCUGCAGCAAAAAAAAACAGAAGAGAAAAACAGGUUGGGAACCACUGAUAAAUUAAACUUUACCACCCCAAGUACCUGGACUGAACCCUUCUGCAGUGGACUGUGGGUUUGCUUCAUAGAGCUCAGCAGUGAAGAGGGUCUCUGUGAUUCAGAAGCAACACCUCUUUUUAUUUUUGGGAGUCUUGGGGUAGCCACGUGCAAACGCCCCAUGUAGAGAGUAACACAUUGAGGAUUUUGCAUGCAAUAUUCUCCCCUAAUUAAACGUGGGUGUAAUGGGCCUCAUGUGAGCACACCCUGAACAUGAAGAUUGAGGGGAAAAUGGGUGGGAAGGGUGUGCGAUGCUGAUUGGGAUGAUUCUUCACUGUAAGCUCUGGCAGUAUUGGCUCUGAUUGCCCCUUAUACAAACACAUCAGGAACUAUCACCUUCUCAGAGAUGGGCUGGGCUGUGCAAGAUUUACCAUCACAGGUCUUUCUUCAUCAAUUCUGUUGUCACUGAUGAGGGCAGUGGAGUUGUUGGAGCUUAACAUACGUCUGAUUUCAGCUUGGCU